GUUCAGUGGUGAGUUUCAAAUUUGAUGUGAGAAACGCAUCUAUACAGUUCUUAUAUCCGUGAUUUUCAGCUCCAAUUUUAUUUAACGUGUAACGUAGUAUAAGUUGGUAGACCAAUAGAAUUUAUAUGAACAAAUACUAUUUGAUUUCGGGGAAGGUAUAUUGCAAGGUGUAGUCAAGUUUGCUGAUUUUACAAUUGAAAAUAAUUUUGGAAAUACAGGCUCGAAUGCAAAAGGCUGUAGAUAAUACAAAGCCUUCCUUAAGAAUACAAAGAUUUUAUAGGGAAAAACAAGUGUGCGUUGAAAAAAAUCAUUUAUAAAGACGAAAGAUUUACAAAUUAUAACAUGAUACAUCAGGAAAAUUACUUCCGAAUAAAUUGACUAUACAUAAUUUGACUGAUGAUUGGCUAAAAGCUAUUCAGGUGAUUUGGAAAACUACCCACUUAAAUGCAGAAAACAAUUGUGAUAUAAAUAAAUCAAUGUCGGAUUGUUUUCAAGAAAGAGAAGAACUUUGAUUGUGGCCAGCUCAGUUAAACAUAAUCAACGCUCCUCUGAGGUCACUAAGGGCAUCGUUAAGAAAUUUGUUAUUUUCACAGAUGUCUAUUCUUAUUA